rnacentral:rRNA from 1 species
AGGAACGUUGAAGACGAUGACGUUGAUAGGCCGGGUGUGUAAGCGCAGCGAUGCGUUGAGCUAACCGGUACUAAUGAACCGUGAGGCUUAACCUU